UGCUUAACCAACUAGCCACCCAGGUGCCCCUAUCCUCAUGGUUUCUAAACACAUGGAAAGAUGUUCAUUGUCACUGAAUGAAUGAAAUGCAAACUAAAUUGCACUAAGAUACCUUUUCCACCUAAGAGAUUAGUCAGAAGACAAAAAGUUUAGUAAUACACUGUGUUGCUUAGGCUAUGAGAAAAAGUGGCAGUUUCCAACUUUGCCGAUAGAAUUGCAAAUUAGUAUAAACACUAUGGAAGAGUUUAUCAGUCUUCAGGGAAUCAGAAUGACUUGAGGUAUUUCAAGCAGAAAUGGAUUUAAUAAAGGGACUUAGAUGAUGGCGUCCACUGGAUGGACUAAAAGAACCAAAUUUAGGAUGAUAGGAUUAUGCAAUGAUUUUUUUUCUCUUUUUUUUGGUCACACUGCCCCAAGCUGCCAUCCAGAGACUAGGAAGUCACAGCUAAAGUCACAGCUGCCUUGUAGCCCUGAAGCCAGUGAUAGGCUUACUAUUGCAAAACUCACAGUGGCCAAAGCCUAUGUGUGUUGGCUGCCAUCAGAACCAGAUUAAGAACAGCUUCUAUCCCUUUAGUCUUUUGUGUUUCACUGUGAACACACUUCAUUGGCAAAAACUGAUUGUUUGGGAAACCAAACCCAACUUCCAGUUGGGAAGAAAAUCUGGGAAGUGUAGUUCCUGAGUUUCUAACCCCUGUGUUCUAUAUCAUAUCUCCCUGUGGGAGAAUAUAGGAGGGCAUUGAAAGGGGUGCUGAAUGACAGUAGAUAGCAUCUCAUAUGAUCCAGCCCUUUGGCUUCCCAGCGUCCAUAUGUACCCUUUUGUCCAUAUUUAAAUUUCCAGAAGCAACAAUUCAACAACAUGCUUCCAUCUAAAAGAAAGCAUAGUUACACAAAAUAAUGCAAACAAGAAGGUAGCCACUCUGUCGUCAGUCACGGUGCCCAUCUCUGGCUGAAUGUUUUUCCCCUUCUAGUUCAGUCACAAUCCAUCUGAUAUUCUAAAGACUACAUUAUAAGGUUAGCUACCACUAACACUCCUUAUGUAAAAUAAUAGGGGGAGGAAAGAGGAAGAAAAUACUUAACAAAACCAGGAAGAAUAUAUAUGCAUGUUUACUACAUUUUGGUCAUUAUAACUUCCUGCCUCUGCCAUCUAUUCCUAUCCCUUUUGCCCUCAGCCAGCAUUCAGCUAUUCAGCAUAUUCUAUCUGGUGGAAUGAUCCAAGCCUGCCUUCCUGAAGGAUGUACUCUCUUGGUGAUUCUGCCUGUAUUUGGUUACUAUAGUUUUCCAUUAACUUUUCCUAAUGGACAAGUAGGCAUCCCAAGGAAUCCUGUCAUUCCAGACAUAUGCCUCUCAGGUCACCACUGAGUAGCAUCAGUCUUAUUUUCCCUUGACAAUCAAGAUCAGUCAGAACUGAAUUCCACCAACAACUUCAAUAAGGUUAGAAGAGGAGCCUGGGCUCCAGAUGAGAAUGGAGCCUGCUGACACCUUGAUUUUAGCCUUGUGGUACCCUGAGCAGAGAACGUAGCAAUGCCAUGCCUGACUUCCCACCUGCAGAACUGAGUUAAUAAGUAGGUGUUGCUUUAAGUCUCUAAGUUUGUAGUAAUUUGUUGCACAGCAAUAGAAAACUAAUACACGUUCAGAGAUCAGAAAGCUACAGGAACCCAAUGCUCAAAAUUAGUAUCAUUAAUAGUGGGACAACUAGACAUUACCUAAGGAUGUGAUAAGAAGUUCAAUGGAAAGUUCACAGCAUCACUGUAAACUAUUUUGACCAGUGGUGUAAAAUCUGAAUCAAACCAAGCUUUUAGAUUACAUGACUGUUUGCAUUUGUCAAAAUGCAAAGAACUGUAAAGUAAAAAGGAUGAUGUUUACAAUAUAUAAAUUAUACCUCAAUAAAUCUGACCUGAAAAACCUCCAAGCCUUUUGAUCUACCUCAUUUUACAGGAAAUACCAGGGAUAACUAAACGACAGCCUAAGGAAAUAGAUGUAUUUAGAAUGUGGGACAUUCUACAUGACAGCAGGCCUGAUCUCUUCAAAGAGUCAAUGUCAUGAGGGGGAUUGUUCCAAAUAAGACAAGACUUAAGAGGCAUAACGAACAAAUACAUUGCAUGAACCUAUUGGAUCCUUGUUUCAAAGAAACAACUCUAAAAUGUAUUUUUAGGACAGUUGUAGAAAUUUGAAUAUGAAGUGAGUUUUAGGUGGUAUUAGUGAAUUAUUGCUACUUUUAUUAGGGAUAUUAUUGGUCUUGUUAAUUGAAGAACUGUCCCUACUCUUUGGAGAUAUGUAUUUAGGGGUGAACUGUCAUGGUCUUUUUAAUUUACCAUAAAAUGAUUCAAUUAUGAGGCAAAUAUGACAAAAUAUUAAUGAUGGCUGAAACCGGGUGGGAUAGUACAUAGGUAGGUGUUCAUUAUAUUCUUUUCUUUCCUGCAUGUGUGAGACCAGAACUGACAUUACAUUGAAACAAAGAGCAGGUGAAAGCUCUUCCUGGACCUACCCAGCUGCCUUAUCCAGCCUGGAGAUCCAAAGUGGGUGAUGGAUGGACUGCACAAUGUGGAGCCUUAUAGCCAGUGCAAAAAGUCGUGAAUGCUGAAACAGAUGCCCCAGCAACUGCCACUGGCAAAAGAACAAGGGCGUUUGCCUCCCUUCAAUCUUCCAAAUCAUGGGUGUGUGAUUGAUCAGUCUGAAUCCAGAACCUUGCUGGCCGGGGGCAUUUUACCAUGCAGAUUCUGGUUGUCAGAUUUUGAAGACUAUUAUCUUUAUGAAGACAGGAACUAGAUUUACUUGAAUCAACAUUGGAACCUCACUACAGAACACUGAUAUAAGUGCUAAUUAAUAUCAGUAUAUGCCUAGUAUAUAAUGUUGAAACUAAAGCAACAGACAGACAAAAGGAAAUUGCCCAAAGUCACACAGGAAGUGGCAGAGGAGAUUAAAACCCAGGCCAUCUGAUGCUAAAGUCCUCAUCUAACCUUUGUGUUAUCCUGCCUCUCCAGGGUGCACCACAGGCCUUUCAUUCCAAAGACUGGAUAAAGAGAGGAUUUGGAGUCCAAGAGCUGAGAACCACAG